UGGGGGAUUUUGCACAAUGGGCGCAAGCCUGAUGCAGCGACGCCGCGUGAGGGAUGAAGGCCUUCGGGUUGUAAACCUCUUUCGCUGGGUUGAAAGGCCAUGCUUUGGGUGUGGUUGAUUUGAACUGGUAAAGAAGUACCGGCUAACUACGUGCCAGCAGCCGCGGUAAUACGUAGGGUACUAGCGUUGUCCGGAUUUAUUGGGCGUAAAGGGCUUGUAGGUGGUUUGUCGCGUCUGUCGUGAAAUCCUGUGGCUUAACCAUGGGCUUGCGGUGGGUACGGGCAGGCUUGAGUGCGGUAGGGGAGACUGGAAUUCCUGGUGUAGCGGUGGAAUGCGCAGAUAUCAGGAGGAACACCGGUGGCGAAGGCGGGUCUCUGGGCCAUUACUGACACUGAGGAGCGAAAGCGUGGGGAGCGAACAGG
rnacentral:rRNA from 1 species